AUCAUCCAAUUCGCAUGGGAACCUCAACGAAGCAGAUCACGCAGCUGAUGCAGUGCAAGCCUCUAUCAAAGCAUGAGGUCAUAUCAAUCACUCUGUAUUCUGGAAUAAUCUCAAGCCUGUCAAUGUAGGUUGGUUCUCUUUUAUUCAUUUCGGCCCAACAAAGAAUAGUGCUUUUAUGAUUGAUAGGAGGGAGGUGGUGAACCUCCACAUGGUGCACUUGGUUGGGCUAUUGACACAGAGUUUGGUUCAAUGGAAGCUCUAGUGCAAAAAAUGAACUCAGAAGGAGCUGCUUUGCAAGGUUCUGGUUGGGUGAGCAUGAACGAAUUGUUGGGGUUAUCUGCAAAAGCUCAGGACAAGGGAAGGGAAUAGCUUACGGUGAUUCCGGUUUCAAACAAGCCGAGUAGGAGUGAUAUCUGAAGCUUCUUUUGAUAUGUGUAUGUGCUAUAUAUGCGCCAUAUGUUGUGGUCUUUUUGCAUUGUCUAUGCGUGUGCAAAUUGGUGUGUAAGUCGUAGCUUCUGAGAUAUUGUGGACUGAUGUGAUGUACAAUGAGAUUGAAUAAUCAUAUGUAGCUUCUUCAAGUUUAUGUGCAGACCCUUCUGUGCAACUUAAUAAGAAUUCCUUUGG